rnacentral:rRNA from 1 species
GACGAACCUUGCAAACGUUAUUCGGAAUCACUGGGCUUAAAGGGUGCGUAGGCUGUGCAGAAAGUUGGGUGUGAAAUACCUCGGCUUAACCGAGGAAUUGCGCCCAAAACUACUGUGCUCGAGGAAGAUAGAGGUGAGCGGAACUUAGGGUGGAGCGGUGAAAUGCGUUGAUAUCCUAAGGAACACCGGUGGCGAAAGCGGCUCACUGGAUCUUAUCUGACGCUGAGGCACGAAAGCCAGGGUAG